rnacentral:tRNA from 1 species
GGAAGUGUAGCUCAAUGGUAGAGCACUUUUCUAGCAUUGUGAAGACCUGGGUUCCAUUCCCAGCAAUGCAA